rnacentral:lncRNA from 1 species
CCAUAAAUAAAGGGCCAAGAAGGACCCUCCAGGUAUGAAAUCUCCUCUCCCAACAUGCUCACUCCUCUUCUGUUGCCAAAUUUUUAACUUGAACGUCGAAGGGUCCCCGCCAGAGCCACCUCUGGUUAGAAACUUUUCUUACAAGUCCUACUACCAUCGUUUGAUCGUCGCCGACCUGCCGUCGCUGCCCAACUCCAAUUGAUCCGACCUCGAGAUAAAAAUUUGUAUCAACACAUGCCACACAGGAUAGGGACCAUGAUGUGCGAGCUAGUAGAGCCCGUGAUGAUACGAUUUCAUACAAACGAUGGGCUCUGCGAGAUCGUUCAGGAUAUGAUAUAGCUACAGAUGACCUCAUAUGUGGAGUAGGAUCCAUAGAUGUAUCAGGUUCGUCCUCGUAUUCUGGAUCCUCUUACUCGCAGCC